CAGAGCUUUCCCGGGCAAGAGCGUUCCCGGCCCCAGGCUAGGAAGGCCUAGUUUCUGGAGCCAUAGAAGGGGAUUCUCCAAGAUAAUGAGGACAGUAGUGAAGGACAUCUGGAAACAACAAACAAGCACAUCUUCUUCCAUGGAUCCACUUCCUGAUCUUUGAAAAUCCUUUAGAGCCUCUAGUUAAAGUGCAAACUUACUCACUAAGUGAAGAUGAAGAUCUUGUCAUUUCUAACACUUGCAUAAAAAGAGAGGUGAUUCAAACUCAAAGAAAAUGUUUGAGGAAAUACUCUAGUCAGAGUACAAAUAAACACCUAGAAGGCUGAGACGGGGAAGGAUAAGAAGAGGC